rnacentral:rRNA from 1 species
GCUACGGGUGGCAGCAGUGAGGAAUAUUGGUCAAUGGGCGAGAGCCUGAACCAGCCAAGUCGCGUGAAGGAUGACGGCCCUACGGGUUGUAAACUUCUUUUGUCAGGGAGCAAUUGGGUCCACGCGUGGGCUUAGCGAGAGUACCUGAAGAAAAAGCAUCGGCGAACUCCGUGCCAGCAGCCGCGGUAAUACGGAGGAUGCGAGCGUUAUCGGGAUUUAUUGGGUUUAAAGGGUGCGUAGGCGGAAUAUCAAGUCAGCGGUAAAAAUUCGGGGCUCAACCCCGUCGUGCCGUUGAAACUGGUUUUCUUGAGUGGGUGAGAAGUAUGCGGAAUGCGUGGUGUAGCGGUGAAAUGCAUAGAUAUCGCGCAGAACUCCGAUUGCGAAGGCAGCAUGCCGGCGCUCAACUGACGCUCAUGCACGAAAGUGUGGGUAUCGAACAGGAUUAGAUACCCGAGUAGUC